GAGAAUCUAAUCUGAGAGGUGGUAGGUGACGGAUGGGGUCCCCAGCUGCCAAAGGUCGCACGGCGGGAAGGAGCUGGCCGAAGCACUGACUUGGAAGUCAGACCUCAUUUCCAGGGUCACAUCGCCAGUCGUGGCCUUGCGCGGAUUACCUAACAUCAAGUCUCAAUUUCUUCACCUGACAAUCACCUCCUAGGAUUGCUGUAAAAAAUAAUAAUAAUAAUGCAUUACAGUUCUUGGCCCAGUGCCUGGCUCAUGGUGAGUUCUCAGUAAAUAACCAUGACCAGCACGUUGGGAGGCUGAGACAGGAGGAUCUCCUGAGCCCAGGAGUUCGAGACCAGCCUGGGCAACAUAGCCAGAUCCCCGUCUCUACAAAAAAAAUUAAAAAUAAUUAGAUAGGAGUGGUGGCAAGCGCCUGUGGUCCCCGCUACUUGGGAGGCUGAGUCUGGAGGAUCUCUGGAGCCCAGGAGGUCGAGGUGCAGUGAGCCGAGAUCGUGCCACUGCACUCCCAGCCUGGGCAACAGAGCAAGACCCUGUCUCAAAAAAAUAAAGUUGGUAACUAUGAGGGUGCUAAGGAAGAUGCCCACCCAAUUCACUGUGCUUUCUACUUCUCCCGCUGGAAAGCCUUGCUCUGGAGGAAGGCAGCUGCAGAGGAAGAUCCACAGAACCCCAAUCUUGGAUGGCUACUCGUGUCCCUCCAAUCUCCAGGCUCUCCUCCCUCUGGUUCACACUGCACAUUGCUUCACUAACCUGCUGGCUGCCUCACCAGCAACCGCGUUACCUUCGGACUGAACAGAGAUUUCAAGAAGGACCCUCACUCCAGUGACAAGUGUCCUAACAGAACAAGGCAGAGCGAGACUACACAAACAGGAGGAGAAAGACCUGAGAAGGAGGAGGCAGAGAUGAGACUGAUGCAUCCACAAACCAAGGAAUGCCCAAGGCCACCAGAAGCCAGAGGACACGAGUGACAACACCUCCCUAGAGCCUCUGGACAGAGUUCAACCCUGCUGACACCUUCAUUCUGGACUUUCAACCUCCAGAGCUGACAGUGAGAGAAUAAAUAUCUGUUGCCUUUUUUUUUUUUUUUUUUUUUCAGAUGGAGUCUCUCUUUGUCACCCAGGCUGCAGUGCAAUGGCACAAUCUCAGCUCACUACAAUCUCCGUCUCCCAGGUUCAAGCAAUUCUCCUGCCUCAGCCUCCCAAGUAGGUGGGAUUACAGGUGCCCGCCACCAUGCCUAGCUGAUUUUUGUAUUUUUAGUAGAGACAGGGGUUUCACCAUGUUGGCCAGGUUGGUCUUGAACUCCUGACUUCAGGUGAUCUUCCUGCCUUGGCCUCCCAAAGUCCUGGGAUUACAGGUGUGAGCCACUGCGCCCGGCCAUCUGUUGUCUUAAGCCACCAAGUUAGUGGUAAUUUGUGACAGCAGCCACAGGAAGCGAAUACAGGGGUAUGGGGAAUGAAAUCGCUCUAAAUUCUCCUCUGUCUUUCAGUGCAUAGACAUAAGUGUGCACCCACACCCAAGAAUGGAAUUGCUGGAUCACAGGGUGGGUGUAUGUUCAGCACUAAGAGAUAUUGCUAAACAAUUUUCUAAAGAGGUUAUAGCAAUUUAUACUCCCACCAAUGUUUGAGAUCCAGUUUCUCCACAUGGUUGUCAGCCUCAGUGCUAUGGUUUGAAUAUUUGACCCCUCCAAACCUCAUGUUGAAAUGUGAUCCCCAGUGUCAGAGGUGGGACCUAAUAGGAGGUGUUUGGGUCAUGGGGGCGGAUCCCUCAAGACUUCAUGACAGCUUGGUGCAGUCUUGGAAGUAGUGAGUAAGUUCUCGUUCUGUAAGUUCCUGUGAGGGCUGAUUGCGUUUUUUUUCGUUUCGUUUGUUGUUUGUUUGUUUUUCUUCGAGACGGAGUCUUGCUCUGUCACCCAGGCUGGAGUGCAGUGGCACCAUCUCGGCUCACUGCAACCUCCGCCUCCCAGGUUCAAGCAAUUCUCCUGCCUCAGCCUCCCAAGUAGCUGGGAUUACAGGCUCCUGCCACCAUGCACAGCUAAUUUUUGUAUUUUUAGUAGAGACGGGGUUUCGCCAUGUUGGCCAGGCUGGUCUUGAGCUGCUGGCCUCAAGUGACCCACCCGCCUCCGCCUCCCAGAGUGCUGGGAUUACAGGCAUGAGCCACCGCGUCCAGCCUGGGCUGGUUAUUAAAAAAAACAGACUGCUACCUCCCCUCUCUCUCUUGCUUUCUCUCUCACCCUAUGGUCUCUGCACACGCAGGCUUCCGUUUGCCUUCUGCCAUGAGUGGAAGCAGGUUGAGGCCCCCAUCAGAAGUAGAUGUUGGUGCCAUGCUUCUUGUAUGGCCAGAAGAACCAGCAGCCAAAUGAACCUCUUUUCUUUAUAAAUUACCCAGCCUUGGGUAUUCCUUAUAGUAACACAAGCAGAUGAAGACAUUUAGUAUUGUCUUUUGCAUUUCACCCUUCUGGCGGCUGUGCAAUAGUUUUAAUUUUUAUUUCCCUGGUGACUAAUGAGGCUGUAUGCUUUUUCUUAAGCUUUUUCACCAUUUGGAUAUGGUUUUCUCGUGAUGGGCCUACUCAUAUCUUUGGCCCAUUUUUCUUCUG
rnacentral:lncRNA from 1 species